CCUACGGGGGGCAGCAGUGGGGAAUAUUGGACAAUGGGCGAAAGCCUGAUCCAGCCAUGCCGCGUGUGUGAAGAAGGCCUUCGGGUUGUAAAGCACUUUCAGUGGGGAAGAAAGCCUUGGGGCUAAUACCCUCGAGGAAGGACAUCACCCACAGAAGAAGCACCGGCUAACUCCGUGCCAGCAGCCGCGGUAAUACGGAGGGUGCGAGCGUUAAUCGGAAUUACUGGGCCUAAAGCGCGCGUAGGCGGUCUGAUAAGCCGGUUGUGAAAGCCCCGGGCUCAACCUGGGAACGGCAUCCGGAACUGUCAGGCUAGAGUGCAGGAGAGGAAGGUAGAAUUCCCGGUGUAGCGGUGAAAUGCGUAGAGAUCGGGAGGAAUACCAGUGGCGAAGGCGGCCUUCUGGACUGACACUGACGCUGAGGUGCGAAAGCGUGGGUAGCAAACAGGAUUAGAUACCCUGGUAGUC
rnacentral:rRNA from 1 species